rnacentral:rRNA from 1 species
GGCAGAGGGGGCAAGCGUUGCUCGGAAUUACUGGGCGUAAAGAGCGCGCAGGCGGUCGUACAAGUCGCGUGUGAAAGCCCCCGGCUCAACUGGGGAGGGUCACGCGAUACUGUUCGACUCGAAGGCAGGAGAGGGAAGUGGAAUUCCCGGUGUAGUGGUGAAAUGCGUAGAUAUCGGGAGGAACACCAGUGGCGAAGGCGACUUCCUGGCCUGUUCUUGACGCUGAGGCGCGAAAGCUAGGGUAGCAAACGGG